CGUAGUAGGUGUGCCGGGGCGGAGCGGAGGUCUGGAGCCCCAGCCCCGGUGUGCCCCGCCCGGGCAUCAGCCAACCCGGCUGAUUCUCGUGUGCAUGCCCAGCCACCGUGCGGGGACUGUCCACAGGGUUCCUACAACAGACUGAACUUGGCAAGCCAGUAAGUUUAUUGGAUUUACAGAGAGUUGUGCACGACCCCAAAGCAGCUGGACCACCAACAUGUCUCACCCAGGAAUGGAUGAUAAUGUCCCCAUAGCUGUGUAGAUUGGGGUUCUCCUUUCAGACAUCCCUCCACACUCUGUGAACUCUGUCAUCUCCUGAGGCAGACUGGAUCGCACUCCACUGGGAGGGUGGUGUAGGAAGGAAAGGUAUCUCAGUCGAGGGCUAAUGACCGUCCUCAGCCCCUUCUGUGAGGGAGCAUCGACAGGACAAGUAAUCAUGACUGCCUUGAUGAAGGUGGUGAUGGCUUUAAGCUCAGAAGAAGGACAGCAUUCCACAACACCCAGGCGAACCCCAAUGGUGACCUCAGUGUCUUCCUGCCCAUGAUGUCUCAAAGCCCAUUAUGUCAAAAUAUGGCUUGAAUCAUAUUCUCAAAGAUUUUAAAUAAUGGACUGAAGGACUACCUUGAUGUGUCAAGACUGCUCCAAAAGAAUAUCACAGCCAAGAUGGAAGAUGUGCAUAUCUUUGCUGCUCGGGAGCCAGAGGCAGGAGGAUCACUUGAGCCCAAGAGUUCAAGGACAAUGUGGUGGUGUAGCAGGACGUCUUAGUUACUUUUAAAUCGCCAUGACAAAACAGCAUGACCAUGGAAACUUGCAGAAAAAAAAGUGUUUAAAUUGGAGCUUACAGUUCAGAGGGUGAGUCCAUGACCAUCGUGGGCAGGGAGGCGACGGGCAAGCAGGCAAGGUGCUGGAGCAGUAACUGAGAACUUACAUCUGAACCACAAGCCCAAGGCAGAGAGAGAGAGAGAGAGAGAGAGAGAGAGAGAGAGAGAGAGAGAGAGACUGGAAAUAGUGUGGGUGUUGGAAACCUCAAAACUAGUGACACACCUCCUCCAACAAGGCCACACCUUCUAGUCCUUUCCAAACAGUUCCACAAGCUGGGGACCAAAUGUUCAAACAACCACCACACAAGAAACAUCUUGAUAAUGAUAAUGCUACAAAUGGGUUAUAAAGGACAUAAACUAAAUCUGGCAUGUUGAACUGGGCAGUGGUGGCGUUCUUUACUCCCAGCACUUGAGAGGCAGAGGCAGACAGAUCUCUGAGUUCAAGGCCAGCCUGGUCUACAGAUCAAGUUCCAGGACAGCCAGGGCUGCACAGAGAAACCUUGUCUCAAAAAUAAAUAAAUAAAUAAAAACUG